rnacentral:misc_RNA from 1 species
UCUGGAAAGAAACGAAAACGGUCCCUCUCGGGUAACGGGAUCCGGCGCCGCGGAAGGGUUGGCAGGCCUGGGCGGGGCGCGGGCGAGGGCCAGCCUGGAUGACGAUGUAAACAAACUCGGUUGGUGGAGACUCGAGGCUUCCCCCCUGCAUGAUUCAGCACCUUCUCUAAGCUCCCCUGGACGCCAUAUUUCUCGCGUAGUUCCUUAACCGCACGCACGCACCCGAGACUAGCAUGGAGAGCAGACCAACCAAGACUUUGAUUCAGCAUUGAUCUGUUAAUACAAACCCACUCAAGUUUUGUACUUCCAGCCUGCCGCCCAGAACACCACAGUAAAUG